rfam:Erinaceus europaeus cont1.646740, whole genome shotgun sequence.
UCUCCAGAGGCAGCUGUCCACAUCUGGGUCUGCAGUGGGGGCCAGACACUGGGGAGGGAGCUUGGUCCACAAUGACUCAGCUCUCUUGGGA